AUGAAAAUACAUCUUAAGAAUAAAAUCUUUGCAUGCUAUCUUCGUUACGGAGUCAUUCUUACUAAAGAUAACCUUGUUAAGAGGAAUUGGCAUGGAAUUACACAAUGUGUCUUUUGUCAGCAUGAUGAGACAAUAAAACAUUUGUUCUUUCAAUGUAAAUUGGCUCGUUCUAUAUGGUCAGUCAUCCAAAUAGCUUCAGGCUUGUACCCUCCUUGUAGUGUUGCUAAUAUAUUUGGCUACUGGUUACAUGGGAUCAAACACAAGUUUAGAACUCUUCUUAGGGUGGGAGCGCUCGCCGUUAUUUGGUCGCUUUGGCUAUGUAGAAAUGAUAAGGUUUUUAACGAGAAAAGUACAUCUCUUAUGCAAGUUAUCUACAGAUGUACCGGGACGCUUCAUUUAUGGUCGUCUCUACAGCGUAUGGAGAAUCGCGGCCUCUUUAUGGAGGUCUGUACAUGA
rnacentral:rRNA from 1 species